CGACUUUAGAGAGACUGCCGGUGUUAAGCCGGAGGAAGGUGGGAUGACGUCAAGUCCUCAUGGCCUUUAUGUCUAGGGCUACACACGUGCUACAAUGGGUGGUACAAAGAGCAGCUAACUCGCGAGAGUAUGCAAAUCUCAAAAAGCCAUCCUCAGUUCGGAUUGGAGUCUGCAACUCGACUCCAUGAAGUUGGAAUCGCUAGUAAUCGCGGAUCAGCAUGCCGCGGUGAAUACGUUCCCGGGCCUU
rnacentral:rRNA from 1 species